rnacentral:rRNA from 1 species
GACGAACGCUGGCGGCGUGCCUAAUACAUGCAAGUAGAACGCUGAAGCGAGGAGCUUGCUCUUCUUGGAUGAGUUGCGAACGGGUGAGUAACGCGUAGGUAACCUGCCUGGUAGCGGGGGAUAACUAUUGGAAACGAUAGCUAAUACCGCAUAAAAUGGAUUAUCGCAUGAUAAUCCAUUGAAAGGUGCAAAUGCAUCACUACCAGAUGGACCUGCGUUGUAUUAGCUAGUUGGUGGGGUAACGGCUCACCAAGGCGACGAUACAUAGCCGACCUGAGAGGGUGAUCGGCCAAACUGGGACUGAGACACGGCCCAGACUCCUACGGGAGGCAGCAGUAGGGAAUCUUCGGCAAUGGACGGAAGUCUGACCGAGCAACGCCGCGUGAGUGAAGAAGGGUUUCGGAUCGUAAAGCUCUGUUGUAAGAGAAGAACGAGUGUGAGAGUGGAAAGUUCACACUGUGACGGUAGCUUACCAGAAAGGGACGGCUAACUACGUG